rnacentral:rRNA from 1 species
GAGUUUGAUCAUGGCUCAGAUUGAACGCUGGCGGCAUGCCUUACACAUGCAAGUCGAACGGCAGCACGGGAGCUUGCUCCUGGUGGCGAGUGGCGAACGGGUGAGUAAUGCAUCGGAACGUAUCCUGGAGUGGGGGAUAACGUAGCGAAAGUUACGCUAAUACCGCAUAUUCUGUGAGCAGGAAAGCGGGGGACCUUCGGGCCUCGCGCUCUUGGAGCGGCCGAUGUCGGAUUAGCUAGUUAGGUGAGGUAAAGGCUCACCAAGGCGACGAUCCGUAGCAGGUCUGAGAGGAUGAUCUGCCACACUGGAACUGAGACACGGUCCAGACUCCUACGGGAGGCAGCAGUGGGGAAUUUUGGACAAUGGGGGCAACCCUGAUCCAGCCAUGCCGACGUGAGUGAAGAAGGCCU